rnacentral:rRNA from 1 species
UACGGAAGAUGCGAGCGUUAUCCGGAUUUAUUGGGUUUAAAGGGAGCGUAGGCGGGCGAUUAAGUCUGCGGUAAAAUGUCGAUGCUCAACAUCGUCCUGCCGUGGGAACUGGUCGUCUUGAAUGUGCACAAGGAAGGUGGAAUUCGUGUGUAGCGGUGAAAUGCUUAGAUAUCACGAAGAACUCCGAUUGCGAAGGCAUCCUUCUGGGGCAUGAUUGACGCUGAGGCUCGAAAGCGCGGGUAUCAAACAG